GCGUCCGUAGCUUAAUUGGCAGAGCAGUGGGACGGUUUCCCACAGUCCCGGGUUUAAGUCCCGGCGGUCGCA